AAUAAGCGGAGGAAAAGAAACCAACAGGGAUUCCCUUAGUAGCGGCGAGCGAACAGGGAAAAGUCCAGCGCCGAAUUCCGCGCCUUUCACGGGUGUCUGGAAAAUGUGGCGUUUAGGAGGGAGCGUGCCGGUGCGUGACUCUGCAGCAAGUCCCCCUGACCGGGGCUGUUUCCCAUAGUGGGUGCGAGGCCCAUAGCUGCUAAGUCUCCUCGGGAUGCGACCUCUUGGGAGUCGGGUUGCUUGAGAGUGCAGCCCUAAUCGGGUGGUAAACUCCACCUAAGACUAAAUACGGCCGCGAGACCGAUAGCAAACAAGUACCGUGAGGGAAAGUUGCAAAGAACUUUGAAGAGAGAGUUCAAGAGUACGUGAAACUGCUCAGAGGUAAACAGGUGGGCCCUCGAAAUCCUGUGGUGGGAGGGUUCAGUCGGAAUAGGCGGAUGUGUGCGCCGGAGGGACCGGUUCUUCGGGCUGGUUCCGGUAUCGCACUGUUUCUACCUUGCCUGACGCAAUUCCUCCCGCCCUAAUGGACGUCGCGGCCAGUUGGGUUUUUUAAGACGGCCUUAAGGGCGGACGACGGCAGGUGACCGGUGGCGAGACUCGUUCUUUUCGCCGGUUGUUAGCCAGUCUGUCUGUGGCUCGUCACCCGACUGAGGUUUUGACGGGGCCCGUUUUAUGGGCCCCUUUGCCGUCUCCUCCCCCUUUGAGGUAGCGGAAGGAUGUCGACAGACGUUCAGCGGCGGUCGACGUUUCACUGGAUCAUACCGUGUCCGUCGCGCCGAAGUCUUUGGUGGUUGGCACGAGUCCGCGGGAGUGCUUGGUGGCCAGCGGCGAGUAGGUCGGUCACCCACCUGACCCNNNNNNNNNNNNNGACCAAGGAGUCUAACAUGUGCGCGAGUCAAUGGGACUUGAAUAUGCCUAAAGGCGCAAUGAAAGUGAGUACCGGGGUUCCAUUAGAAUCCCGGACAUAGUUGGGACUCCCCGAUCUAUGGCGGGGAAGCACCAACGACCCGUCCUAUCCGAUUUAUCGGUUGGGCGGAGUCAGAGCGUACACGUUGGGAUCCGAAAGAUGGUGAACUAUGCCUGGGCAGGACGAAGUCAGAGGAAACUCUGGUGGAGGUCCGUAGCGGUUCUGACGUGCAAAUCGAUCGUCAGACCCGGGUAUAGGGGCGAAAGACUAAUCGAACCAUCUAGUAGCUGGUUCCCUCCGAAGUUUCCCUCAGGAUAGCUGGUGCUCGGAGAAUUCAGUCUCAUCCGGUAAAGCGAAUGAUUAGAGGCCUUGGGGCCGAAACGACCUCAACCUAUUCUCAAACUUUAAAUGGGUGAGAAGUCCGGCUUGCGUAUAAAUAAUGAAGCCCGGACGUGUUGGAUGAGAGUGCCUAGUGGGCCACUUUUG
rnacentral:rRNA from 1 species